rnacentral:snRNA from 1 species
AUACUUACCUGGCAGGGGAGAUACCAUGACCAUGAAGGUGGUUUUCCCAGGGCUAGGCUUAUCUAUUGUACUCUGGAUGUGCAAAAUGCAUGAAACUCGACUGCAUAAUUUGUGGUAGUGGGGGGACUGUGUUCGCGCUCUCCCCUG